UACGUAGGUGGCGAGCGUUGUCCGGAAUUACUGGGCGUAAAGGGCGUGUAGUCGGCCGAUCAAGUCAGGUGUGAAAUACCGGGGCUUAACCCCGGGGCUGCACAUGAAACUGUUAGACUUGAGGGCAGGAGAGGAGAGUGGAAUUCCCAGUGUAGCGGUGAAAUGCGUAGAUAUCGGGAGGAACACCAGUGGCGAAGGCGACUCUCUGGACUGCAACUGACGCUGAGGCGCGAAAGCUGGGGGAGCGAACGGG
rnacentral:rRNA from 1 species